rnacentral:rRNA from 1 species
GACGUAGGGGGCCAGCGUUGUUCGGAAUCAUUGGGCGUAAAGGGCGCGUAGGUGGCCCGGUCAGUUCGUGGUGAAAGCGCGGGGCUCAACCCUGCGUCGGCCAUGAAUACUGCCGCGGCUGGAGCACUGUAGAGGCAGGCGGAAUUCCGGGUGUAGCGGUGGAAUGCGUAGAGAUCCGGAAGAACACCGGUGGCGAAGGCGGCCUGCUGGGCAGUGGCUGACGCUGAGGCGCGACAGCGUGGGGAGCAAACAGG